UACGGGGGGGGCAAGCGUUGUUCGGAAUUACUGGGCGUAAAGGGCUCGUAGGCGGCCAACUAAGUCGGAUGUGUAAUCCCCAGGCUCAACUUGGGAACUGCAUCCGAUACUGGAUGGCUUGAAUUCGGGAGAGGGAUGCAGAAUUCCAGGUGUAGCGGUGAAAUGCGUAGAUAUCGGGAAGAACAUCGGUGGCGAAGGCGCUCUGCUGGACCAUAACUGACACUCAGGGACGAAAGCUAGGGGAGCGAAUGGG
rnacentral:rRNA from 1 species